GACGAACGCUGGCGGCGUGCUUAACACAUGCAAGUCGAGCGGAGCGGCGAACGGGUGAGUAACGCGUGAGUAACUGCCCCCCUCUCUGGGAUACCAGUUGGAAACGGCUGCUAAUACCGGAUAGUGGGGGAUGACUCGCGUCCUAUCAGCUUGUUGGUGGGGUAGUGGCUGACCAAGGCGACGACGGGUAGCCGGCCUGAGGGGGCGACCGGCCACCUUGCGCUGGGGUACGGCGCAAACGCCAACGGGAGGCAGCAGUGGGGAAUAUUGCACAAUGGGGGAAACCCUGAGGCAGCAACGCCGCGUGCGUGAAGACGUCCUGCGAGUUGAAAACCGCGUUCAGCCAAAACGCGGUAGUGACAGAAGAAGCACCGGCUAACUACGUGCCAGCAGCCGCGGUAAUAC
rnacentral:rRNA from 1 species